rnacentral:lncRNA from 1 species
GGAAGAAAAGGUCGGUUAUCCACUUGAAAAAGGCUUCUAGGGUGUAGUUCCGUGGGCGGAACCAGGAAAUAUCUUGUGUGAGGACGUGAAGUAAGAGAGUGAAGUGGCAGGAUAGACAAAACUUUCUUGGGGAAGAAAACACAUGCACAAAUCCUGGUGUAAGGAAUAUUUUAAGCAUAUAUCUUCAAUAUCAUUCAUCCAGGACCGAGCAAGACCAACACUCUUCCUCCUCCUCUGCCUACUCAAUGUGAAGACAAUGAGGAUGAACACCUUUAUGAUGCUCCACUUCCACUUAUUGAAUAGUGCUACACAUGAAACUUGUAACCAGUUACUACAGGCGAAAGCAAAUCCAUGUCUUCAGGCUGGUGUCAUCAGGGAGAGAAGCUUUGGUUUCCACAUAAGGAUAUAAGAUCAUUGAUGUAAAACAAGACAUGUAACCUCUCAAAUUGAGAGAAUGGAUUGGAGAGAUAUUGUUGACCAUGUUUUCCCCUGUAUCUCACCUUCCCCUCUCCAAGACUUCCUUGUCAGUUACCCAUAUUGAUAUCAGUUUAUCCACAUCCAUGCUUUCAAGUUUAAACAAAGAAACUAGGCAAAGGCAGCUAUGUAUUCGCUAGGAUUAGGGAGGAGAAGAUAAUGAACCACUGGAUAGUGAGAAGAAAGAGAGGUGGAGAAAGUGAGAGACCCCAGUAACAGAGGACAGGGACACAUUGCUAAGGAUAGGGACACAUUCACUGUAAUAUAGAAGGCCAUGCUUAUAUGUAAAAUAUGCAGUAAUUGUAUAUAUAUGUACAAAAGUGAUGACACACAUAUGCACAUAAACAAAACACAAUUACUGUCUAUGUUUCUUUAUUUGUGACCUAAUGUUUUAUGUUGUUUGUAACUGAAAAAAAAAUUCCCUUCUGAAUAAAAUGUCAAUUUUGCGAUUGCA